rnacentral:rRNA from 1 species
UACGUAGGGGGCAAGCGUUGUCCGGAAUCAUUGGGCGUAAAGAGCGUGUAGGCGGCUUGGUAAGUCCGCCGUGAAAGUCCAGGGCUCAACCCUGGAAAGCCGGUGGAAACUGUCAAGCUCGAGUCCGGAAGAGGCGAGUGGAAUUCCUGGUGUAGCGGUGAAAUGCGCAGAUAUCAGGAGGAACACCAAUGGCGAAGGCAGCUCGCUGGGACGGUACUGACGCUGAGACGCGAAAGCGUGGGGAGCGAACAGG